UACGUAGGGUGCGAGCGUUAAUCGGAAUUACUGGGCGUAAAGCGUGCGCAGGCGGUAAGUUAAGUCUGAUGUGAAAGCCCCGGGCUCAACCUGGGAAUGGCAUUGGAAACUGGCUUGCUGGAGUGUGGCAGAGGGGGGGUGGAAUUCCGCGUGUAGCAGUGAAAUGCGUAGAGAUUAGGAAGAACACCAGUGGCGAAGGCGACUUACUGGACUGUAACUGACGCUGAGGCAUGAAAGCGUGGGGAGCGAACAGG
rnacentral:rRNA from 1 species